UGUACUUUUGCUCAAACCAUAUGCGAUGUUUGAACGUUGGCGUUCCAUUUAAAAGAUAAGGUCAUACAGACAGAUAAAGAAAAUGAAUUGCAUUGAAUUGUCACGAUCAUGUUAACGUGACGGAACGUUCACUAUACAGCGCUCCCUGGAGGCCAGUUUUAUCUGAUAGAUACUGGAGAGGUCGGCCAUUGAAUUAACAACAAAUUCGCAACACUGACUUAAAAUAGCUACGAGAUGAACAUAAUUGCUAUGAUUGGUUUGAUUGUUAUUGCCUUGGUGGGCAUUGGCGGCGGCGCUGCAGUGACCAACCCUAUCCUCACCCCUGUCAUGCCAAAAGGUUGUAUGCAUAACGGAAAGAUGUAUGAAGAUGGGGAGAAGACAACCUCCAAUCCUUGUUCGCCGUGUUUUUGUCAUAAUGGUUAUAUGGCCUGUUUGGCAAUUGAUUGCAUGAUGCCAAAUUGUGUUGAUUCUGUAAGAAAACCAGACCAGUGCUGUUCUACUUGUCCAAAUGGUGCUAACUGUUAUCUACCUGAUGGAACUACAAUACUGAAACAUGGUGACUCGCAAAAAAUGGCCGACGGAAGUACGUGUAAAUGUGCAUCAAGAUUUGGAUUUGGAUUUGGACCCGGUAAUCCCAAAGCACUUUGUAGCCAAAUAGCUGAUAUAAAACCAUAAUAGUAUUAAUCUUAA